UACGUAGGGGGCAAGCGUUGUCCGGAAUCAUUGGGCGUAAAGAGCGUGUAGGCGGCCCGGUAAGUCCGCUGUGAAAGUCGAGGGCUCAACCCUCGAAUGCCGGCGGAUACUGUCGGGCUAGAGUCCGGAAGAGGCGAGUGGAAUUCCUGGUGUAGCGGUGAAAUGCGCAGAUAUCGGGAGGAACACCUACGGCGAAGGCAGCUCGCUGGGACGGUACUGACGCUGAGACGCGAAAGCGUGGGGAGCAAACAGG
rnacentral:rRNA from 1 species